UCAUGCAGUCGAACGGCAGCGCGAGGAGCUUGCUCCUUGGCGGCGAGUGGCGGACGGGUGAGUAACGCGUAGGAAACUACCUAGUAGUGGGGGAUAACUCGGGGAAACUCGGGCUAAUACCGCAUACGCUCUACGGAGGAAAGCAGGGGAUCUUCGGACCUUGCGCUAUAAGAUGUGCCUGCGUCGGAUUAGCUUGUUGGUGGGGUAAAGGCCUACCAAGGCGAUGAUCCGUAGCUGGUCUGAGAGGAUGACCAGCCACACUGGGACUGAGACACGGCCCAGACUCCUACGGGAGGCAGCAGUGGGGAAUAUUGGACAAUGGGGGGAACCCUGAUCCAGCAACGCCGCGUGUGUGAAGAAGGUCUUCGGAUUGUAAAGCACUUUCAGCGGGGAGGAAAAAAUAGUUCUUAAUACGGGCUAUCUUGACAUUACCCGCAAAAGAAGCACUGGCUAACUCUGUGCCAGCAGCCGCGGUAAUACAGAGAGUGCGAGCGUUAAUCGGAAUUAUUGGGCGUAAAGCGCGCGUAGGUUGAUCGCUAAGUCAAAUGUGAAAGCCCUGGGCUCAAUCCAGGAACUGCAUUUGAUACUGGUGGUCUAGAGUAUGGUAGAGGGAAGUGGAAUUUCCGGUGUAGCGGUGAAAUGCGUAGAUAUCGGAAGGAACACCAGUGGCGAAGGCGGCUUCCUGGACCAAUACUGACACUGAGGUGCGAAAGCGUGGGUAGCAAACAGGAUUAGAGACCCUGGUAGUCCACGCUGUCAACGAUGAGAACUAGAUGUUGGGAAGCAUGACUUCUUAGUAUCGAAGCUAACGCGUUAAGUUCUCCGCCUGGGGAGUACGGCCGCAAGGUUAAAACUCAAAGGAAUUGACGGGGGCUCGCACAAGCGGUGGAGCAUGUGGUUUAAUUCGAUGCAACGCGAAGAACCUUACCUGCUCUUGACAUCCCAAGAAUCCUCUAGAGAUAGAGGAGUGCUUAGGAACUUGUGACAGGUGUGCAUGACUGUCGUCAGCUCGUGUCGUGAGAUGUGGUAGUCCCGCACGAGCGCACCCUGUCCUAGUGCAGCGUCGUCGGGAACUCUAAGGGACUGCGGUGAUAACCGGAGAAGGUGGGACAAUGUCAGUCAUUAUGGCCUAUGAACAGGGCUUACACACUGUUACAUGGGGAGAUCACAUGAGGGCGGC
rnacentral:rRNA from 1 species